UACGGAGGAUGCAAGCGUUAUCCGGAAUGAUUGGGCGUAAAGCGUCCGCAGGUGGCUGUGUAAGUCUGCUGUUAAAGAGUGAGGCUCAACCUCAUAAAGGCAGUGGAAACUACAUGGCUAGAGUGCGUUCGGGGCAGAGGGAAUUCCUGGUGUAGCGGUGAAAUGCGUAGAGAUCAGGAAGAACACCGGUGGCGAAAGCGCUCCGCUAGGCCGCAACUGACACUGAGGGACGAAAGCUAGGGGAGCGAAUGGG
rnacentral:rRNA from 1 species